UUCUUGCACGGCUUUCGGUAGUUUGCUAUUACUGUUUUCUAUUUAACAAAAAUUAAUGGAUUCUUCUUCUGAAGAAGCCGAUUAUGAUAUUGUCGGCAAUAACAAUGAGGUACAACCUCACAUGUUUGAGCCUUUGGCCAACGCGCAAGGUGGUCAUAGUAAUGACAAUUCUUCGUCAUCGGAAAGCGAAGAUGAAUACAUUCACAGAAUUGGAAAUGUUGAAUGGUGCGAGUGUGGCUUUUGUGUGGUCAUGAGUACAGGACGGGAAAGUAUAUGUUGCCAAGAGGUAAACAGCACUGAUCCUCUGAUACAUGGCGAUCAUAUUUGCAUCACACAAGAGGAAGAGUUUGCCACAGUAUGUACAAACGAAGCUGUCUUAAAAACAGCUAUGGUCGGCGUACACACAUGACAUUGGACCUAUGCCUGAGAGUAAAGAAAACGAAGCAUUACGCUACACGGCGUACCGACAGUGGACGGCUUGGGUGCAUGGCAGGUUGGGAAAAAAGUACCGACUACCCAUACCUUCUUGUGCUGUGGACAAAAUCCGGAAAGCAUUUCCUUCGCCUUCUGGAGAAUACAAAGGAUUUGAAUAUGCUCAACACUACUGAAUGCGAGAUUUAUGUUGCUUAAUGGCUUCAGCUUUGCUGAUUUUUAAUUUGUGGUGAGUCAAUGGGACAGGUAUUUCUUUCACUCCAGCGACAUCAAGAGCUUUGGACAGUGAUGGAUUAAUGCGUCUGCAGUACAAAACUUCUUUCAUCAAGUCCUUAACAUAUCCUGAAAAGCAAAUCAUUAUUUAUGUUGGCUUUGCAUUGCACUUUGAGAAAAGGCUCUAACAUAUCAUGUUCACAUUUUGGGAAUACAUCACUAUGUCCCUAAUGGAUGUCACAUAUAUGACUGAAAACUGACAACCACUUUGCCUUGACAAGUUCUUCAUCACCAUUGCUGGAAGCAGCACACCAGUAUACAUGGUUGGAAAUUGAUUGGGCCCAAUCCGACAAUAAUUUGCAAACACUUUUUUUGAUGCUGCCAAAAUUUUCUUUUUGAUUCCUGUUGGAAUUUGAUUAUUGAUGAAAUGUGUAAAAGGAUUUGAUUUGAGCAUGUCUGUCUGUGUUCAUUGACUUCACCUUCAUCCCACUUUCAUCAAACUUUGCCAGACAUCUCUUUAAUCCCUCAAGUUCCAUUGCUCCAGAGUUCGUCACUUCAUUGGACUAUGUAACAUAAUUAUAUUCCAAAUCCAUGCAGCUAUAUGACCCAUACUUGGCACAAUAUCCAGGCGAAUCACAUCUUCC